AUUAAGGUAUUUCAAAUGUAACAAUUUUUCUAUAUUUGUUGGAAUUUCCUUGAUGAAAUUCUUACACAACCACGGUUCACAUACCUUUAAUUUUAAUGUCCUUAAACAAGUUAAUUUAUCAAAUAAUUGAGGUAAAACUUCACUAGACCAUGAAUAUUCAUCACUUUUAACUAAGAGGCUACGCAAUCCUCGCAAUCCUGUAACAUUACCCCAAAUGGAGAUCGGAACCGAAGCCCCCCUACGUAGAGUUAACAGUAAAUGGAUUUUUUUCUCCCCGAAAGAGCUAAUAGCUAACUCUUCACCACUAUGAAUUUCUACUGUUAAACAUUCAUUACUACAUAAAUAUUGGGCAAAGUCGUGCACGAUAUCGUGCAUUUUGCAAUUAGAGAUUUCACCAUCAUCACCUUUGUCAAAAUCCUGAAAGAAUGAAUGGCUAGCUAAGAUGUUGAAAUACUCUUCACCAAUAUCCUCCAUCUCUUUGGCUCCUUUCUCACUAAGAUAACCUUGUGCCAUCCAUAGUUCAAUUAACUUAUGCUUCUGUAUUUCAUAGUCUUUCGGAAAGACGGCACAAUAUGAGAAACAACGCUUUACCUUGGAGGGUAAUUCUUUGUAACUCAACAAUAGAGGGGCUAAAAGGCCUUUCUCAAUUGCUUCUAGUUCCCAUAUCUCACUCUCUAAGAUAUUUUGCCAUUCUUUUUCAGUGUUUUUAGACCGCAAGAGACUAGCAAUUGUCUUUGCAGCUAAAGGUAAGCCCUUGCACUUUUUUACAAUUUCUCUACCAAUUUUUUCUAAAUUUUCACGUUUUCCUAUGGUCUUACCAGAAAUUGCCAACGACUGAAACACCGACCAGCAUUCCAUUUCAGACAAUACAUUGACAGAGAUAACAUGAGUUGAUCCCAUAAUACGGGCAACUGUUUCUUUACGUGUGGUAAUUAAAAUUUUACUUCCAUGGAGACUAUUCUUUAAACAUUUGUAGAAUGGUUCCCACUUAUAGUAAUCUUCAUUCCACACGUCGUCUAAGACAAGAAGAAAUUUCUUCCCGGCAACACAUUCUUGAAUAUGUUGCAUGAGAGAUUGAAACUCUACAAGGUCUUUGGCAGAACCUGGCUUCAGAGACUCAAUGAUUGCUCUGGCGAUCCUGAACUCAUCAAAUGGCUCUGACACACAGACCCAUGUUCUUUUCUCAAAAUUUCUUUCAACAUCACCGUUGUUGUAGGCAAAUUGAGCAAGAGUAGUUUUGCCUAUUCCCCCCAUCCCAACAAGUGAGAUGAUAGAGGGGCCUUUCUGUUCUUUACUACCCUCACAUAACAACCUAUCAACGAGUUCGUUCUUCUCUUUUUCUCUACCAAAUAUCUCGGACUCAUCAAUUGAGGAGAUACUUGGUACUCGUUGAUCCGCUCUCUCAUUAGUAACAUUCACAACAAAACCAAACAUGUCUUUCUGUUUGGCAAUAUCAUCAAGAGUUUCGUUGAUUUCUUUUAUCUUCAGAGCAAUGUCACGACGUAAGACAAGUGGUUUGCAGGCAAAGCAAGAUGCAGUAGGAAAGAAGGAACAUACCUUCUUCUUAGGCACUCCGUCGAUCUGCAGUUUGAGCCUUGCAGUGUUCCACUCACCCAACACGUCUUCCAUGUCGUAACAUGUGCAUCUGAGUUGAUCGAGCCAGAGUCUGACAGUUUCCUCCUUCACUUGCCUUUUCUCUGCAUCAUGGAGCACAGCUUCAAUGACGCGGAGACUGCUGGUCAGCUUCUUCACUUCCUUUCCGACACCCGUUACUAGCCUCACUUGUUCCUUCGCCUCUUCAACAGCCAUUGAAGUCAGCUGCUCCAAGAUAGGGGAAAGGAUCGCAUCAACCGUGGUGAAAAAGAAAAAGGAGAGAGAGAAGAAAUUGAUGGUGAAUUGUUGCAAAAGUAAGUAGCUAAUGCUGAAAGAAAUGAAGGAGCUGAUAAUGUGGUGAAAAUGUUGCCGUAUUCUUUCAAUUCUUAUAGUACUGCAAGCAAAAUUCUAAUUUAGAAAUAUUUCAUUUCAGCCCCUUGUGAAAGAAGCUACGGUUAUUAUUAUUACUUUUUUUUUUUUAAUAACAGCAAAGAGUGAAAAUGACGUACAGUUGUGGACAGGAAAUAAUAUAUAUGAAACUGACAAAUUUUUCACGCGGCGAUUCACGCGGUAUAUGAAACAGACAAAGUUUUCUAUGAUCUCUUUUUAAAGAAUUGAACAAGUUGUUAGAUAAUAUUUUUGAUCGUGUCGUCAUAUUGAGAUUUGGAAGCAUUUGCUUUACAAUCACCCAUGAACUUUAUAUUUUUUAGAUUGUUUGAUCUGAAUUAUAAGUGUUUUAUUAGCUUAGAAAUACCUUGACCAUCUCUUUCUUAUUUUCUUCUUCUUCUUUUUUUUUUUUUUUUUAAUUUGACUCGUUUGCAUAAUUAGUUGAAAGGAAAGAAUGAACAUACUAAUAAACUAGGAAAACGCUGCCACAUAAUAUUCUAAGAUUCAUAUCGAACCACUUUAUUUAGAUUUUUUCAUUUUAGCAUAUGUCUGAUAGUGGGAGUUUAGAGUUUAAUCUCUAACUUUGCUUGUGAAGUGGGAAAAAUCAAAUAAUCUUUUCAACUCGUUUUUCAACAAAAAUAGAUCACAAUUCAUCAUCAGUUAUUUCUCAUUAUGUAUAAAAUGAUCAAUCUGGAGCUGGAUAUUCACAUAUUUUUCUAUUUCUAAUCAUCUCAAAAUAUAUAAUAUGAACUUUUAAAAAAAAAAUCAAAUUGUAAUAAAGUGACAUAAAUAUUAAAAAAUGAAAAGAAAAAGUCAAAAAUGUAAUGCGGAAAAAAGACAAAACCUUUUUGUUUGUUCUAUUCAUGGCAUCAUCUAAAUAUGAGAAAUGAUGGGUUGAUUGUCAUUGUGAACAACCAUAUAAUUGCAAGACGUGAAUACCAUCAACGUUAUAAUAAUUCAUGGACCCAUGCAUCCUCUGUUUUUCUAAUUAUUCCGUGUAGAAGGCUAAAGUUUAACGUGUGAUUCUCAAAUUCAUUGUCAAGUGAUUUGAACGUUUUAACGGACAGCGCUUACUUUUCUUUUUGAAGGAGCACAAUAACAACUUGAAGAUUCCUGGAAGUUGCCUGCAGUUCAAAUAUUUUCUUCAGACGAAAACCGUCAAUAAUUUCCAAACUUAGAAGAUAUUUAUUUAUUUUUUCCCAUAACCCACCAAAAACUUUUUCAUUUAGUGUAACUUUGUAAUUUUCUUAGAUGAUACUUAAAACUGCUAAUACCUUCUAAUUAUUGUUUUAAAAAUCUAAAUAAUUGCAUGCCCAAUUAACGGAUCAGUAGUGUCAGUUCGACAUAUUUAUUUUUUUAAAAAAAAGAAAUACACAGUUGUUUGAUGACUCUGGAAUUGAACAUCAGGAAAUAAAGAGAAAAAAUAACACACUUUAUGACGAUCAUUGCAGAUGACAUAACAGAUGUAAGUAUUUAUUGCCAAUUAAUUGGCAUUCUUAUUAUCAAGUAAUUGUUUUAGACUCGAAUUCAAAAGCUCUGCUCUGCUCUGCCCUUCGGUAAUCCGCCUGUUCAAAAAAUAAUAUUGUUUUAAAAAUCUCAGUAACAACAUGCCCAAUCGAUCACACAACGACUUUGUUGAAAUUGAAACAUUAUUGGGAAAUUAAUGAAGAGUAGAGAGCAAUUAGAGAGCUUAAUUAAGCUAAACAAUUUGAUUAUUAACUGUCUAGUCUCUCUUGCACCAUUCCAGUUAUCCUCUGAUCGAUCACACAAUCUAAUGCAUAAUCUAUUCUUUAGCGUGCGGCUUUAAACACAGCUGUUAUAAACUUGGUCAGCUUAACAAAUAUAACGUAACAUAUGAUAUUAUUAAAAUAUUCAAUUAUUCUCUUGGAAAGAAGUAAAUUCACUCAAUUUGAAAAAAGGUUGAUAAAGAUAAAAAUAUUUUAUAUUUUAUUACCUAAUAAUAUUAGAAUCUUAAGAUGCAAUUGGCAUUGUUUUUGUUUUGGUGUUCUUUGUUUUUUUAACGAAUCUUAAUAAAUAUUUUAUUAGAAUCUUAAUAAAUAUUUUAUAUUUAUAACAGUAGUAUUAAAAAUAGCCCAAUCUCGCAAACCAUCAAUUAAAUUUAAGAUAAGUAGUGUUUUAUUAUUCAUUGAGUUAUAAUCUCUAGUAGUUAAGAUUUUUUUGUACGUCAUUAACAUACCAAUAAUGAUAUUCAUCAUUAAAUCUUAUUAUUUUUUUGCAUUUUUUAGGGUGAAAUUGUAAUUUUCAUUUUGGGGGUAAAAAUGUCAUUUUAUUAAGUUUCCGUUAGUUUUCUUAACGGAUUCCAAACGGAAGUGGAAAAGUGAAACAAAAUGUAACUUUAGGUGGAUUCCAGCUAAAAAAAGAAAGAAUUGUGUAUUUUUGAAAAAGUUGGAAAAAAUGGGUGGACGGUGGAUAUUUUCCCUUCAAUUAAUUAUAGAUGCAUGAGACUAAGGGUCUAUUUUAUAGUAAGAUGUGGCUUUUUAAUUAUAACUGUUGUAUAAUAACAACUGUAACUACUAAAAAAAAAAUGAAUUAUGGGAAUCGGGUAAACUUUCAUUUGUAAGUAUUAUGAGUAAUUAAUAAUUUGUAGUUUCGAAAGUAGAAGUACACAUUUUUUGACAUGCCUUGAAAAUCUGUAUGUAACCUUAUAUCUAAAUAACUGAUCAAGUAUAUAUCAAGUAAUUCAAAAAUGGGCUGGGACUGAUGGUAAUUGUAGACGUUUUGAGGAUGAGUGAUACUAUGGGCACUACUCUAGAAACUUUAAAACUCCUUUUCUUUAUUUAUUCAAUCGAGCUCCAACCACUUCCUUCGGCGAUCGAGCUCCAGCCACAGCCAUUCGCAAAUUGCAAUCCACAAUCCGCGCCUGAAAUUGCCAUUCACAAUCCACAACUCACAGCCAUGACUUCACAUAGAGAACAACUCCCACAGCCAUCACGCGACAGCGAGAUCGAGCUCUUUUAACAUUCGAAGAGCAGAUCUGGUUGCGAAAGUUGAUUUUUAAUUUGCUUGCGAGCUGAGAUAUUUCGAAUUUUCUCUUUUAUUUAUUUUUUAUUUUUGUAAGUUACUAAGCCAAAAGCUUUGCAUAAGCUUCUGCUUCGGUUUUGCUAGUAUGAGAAGUAAAUUAAGGGACUUUUACUUGUUUAUUUAUAUUUUUGGUAGUUGCUGCAAGUGAUUUUUCUUUUUGAAUUGUUUUCUUUUGACACUUGUGUUGAACAACGAAGUGUAAUUUCGUUAAGAAGAGGAUGACAAAAUUUGAAGAUUGUGAAGCUGCAAAUGUUUUUUUUCCCUUUUCAUAAAUUGCUCAUGGUGCAGUCUCCUUUUGCUUGUUGAAGAAACAGUUAAGGGGGUAUGUAGUUGGGAAGAAAGAGGAAAUGAAAAUGAAAAGAGAAAGCAGAAGUUAAGUCCUCAGGUGGCAUUUUUUCAAUUAAAAAAAUUAAUGACAUCGUUUUCUAAAGCUUCGGGGUUUGACCCGGGGUAAAUAGCCGAACUCUUUUCUUUUUGAUGGAGCACAAUAACAACUUAAAGAUUCCUGGAAGUUGCCUGCAGUUCAAAUAUUUUUCAUUUGAACAAAAACCGUCAAUAAUUUUCAAACUUAGAAGAUAUUUAUUUAUUUUUCCCAUAACCCACCAAAAACUUUUUCAUUUAGUGUAACUUUGUAUUUUCUUAGAUGAUACUUAAAACUGCUAAUAUCUUCUAAUUAUUGUUUUAAAAAUCCCAAUAAUUGCAUGCCCAAUUAACGGAUCAGUAGUCUCAGUUCGAUAUAUUUAUUAAAAAAAAUAAGAAAUACAGAGUUGUUUGAUGACUCUGGAAAUAAAGAGAAAAAAUAACACACUUUAUGACUAUCAUUGCGAAUGACAUAACAGAUGCCAGUAUUUAUUACCAAUUAAUUGACAUUCUUAUCAAGUAAUUGUUUUAGACUUUAAUUCAAAAGCUAAGCUCUGCUCUGCUCUGCCCUUCGGUAAUUCCCCUGUUCAAAAAAUAAUAUUGUUUUAAAAAUCUCAAUAACAACAUGCCCAACAUAUUUUUUUUUAAAAAAAGGAUCGAGCAACACCGUAGCUUUUGUCAUAACGACUUUGUUGUAACUGAAACAAUAUUGGGAAAUUAAUGAAGAGUAGAGAGCAAUGAGAAAGCUUAAUUAAGCCAAACAAUUUUGAUUAUUAACUCUCUAGUCUCUCUUGCACCAUUCCAGUAAUCCUCUGAUCGAUAACACAAUCUAAUGCAUAAUCUAUUCAUUUAAUUAAUCAAUUUGAAUAUAUAUAUAUAUAUAUAUAUAUUUGUUAGAGUGACGCUAUUGGCACCCCUCUAUAUCAAUUAAAGAAAUAUAUUUUAAAGGGAGCUGGUAAGUAAUUUACAACCCUUCAAACUUACGUGAACAGUAAUAGUAAUUAUAAUAAGUGGUGGGAUCUAGAUCUACUGCAUGAAUUUUAAAGGAACUAUAAAUUAUUUAACAAAAUCUUAUUUUAAAACGAUUGUGCGGGACACAGCACAUGCCAACCCGGGCUUUAUCUCUUUUCACUAAUCAUAUAUGUAGUGGCAGACAUCGGUGGCCAAUUAAGGGAUGAACACAACCACUCCACCAAGUAAAUCUUGACGCGUGUGCUUUUAUUUCCAAUUAUUCUACUGUCUUUUUCUAAUUACUUUUAUCGCAGAAGUAAUUAAUUCUGAAGGAAAUGAAGGAGCUAAUAAUGUCGUGAAAGUGCUGCCACAUUCUUCCAAUUCUUAUGCUGCAAGCAAAGCUCCAAUUUACAAAUAUUUCAUUUCAAAAGAAGUUAUUGUUAUUAUUAUCUUUCUUUAUUCUUUUUAAUUUUUUUGACCAGUGUGGACUGGAAAAUAUUGUCAGGUCCUACAUCCGCGAUUCACGCAGUAUAUGACCUGAUAAAUAAUACACGGGUCUUAUUAUGUUACAGUUUUAUGUGUGUAAUAGCCCAUGACCUGAUAAAUAAUUUAUUAAGAGAAGUAAAAAUUUAAUGAUUGCAUAAAUAAUUCGGUAACAGAAUUCUUUUCACCCGUUAUUAAUCGCUUGCAGAUGACUUACUGAAAUUGUAAAUAUGUUGAACAGUGUUUGACUGUGAAGUGUGAAAAAUUAAAUAAUCUUUACUAUUAGUUUUGCAAUAAUAAUAAACAACAAAUCAUUGUUAAUUAUUUCUUAUUUAUUAUGUAUAAAUUGAUCUAUCCAGAGCUGGAUAUUUACAUAUUCUUCUAUUUUUGAUCAUUUUGAAAUUUAAUAGAAUUUUUUUUUAAAAAAAAUCAAUUUGUAAUAAAGUGUCAUAGAUAUUAAAAAAUGAAUGUUAAGGUCAUUAUUUAUAGAGUUGGCAUUUUAUGACAAGUCUAGUUAAAUUGGAAGUUUAUUUAUUGCAUAUCUUGUAAUAGAGAUUAAUUUAUUAAUUCCCUAAUUUAGUCAGAUUCUAAUUUAUUAGGAAUAUUUGUUUCCUAAUUUAAUUAGAUGUCUAUUUUAGCAAGUCAAUUAAUGGUGGGAUUCUAUAAUUGGCGCAUGAGAUUUAUUUAGAGCAAAAAGUUGGUUCAAAUAGGAAGUCUUAAGUUUGGUAAAUCCAUAGGUUGUAACAUCUCAACUUAGUGAAUUGUUUUUCAUCUGAGUGUGGCCUCGUGGAUGUAGGAUUGAUUAAUCUGAACCACGUAAAAAUCUCCGUAUCAUUUAUUUUCUACAUUUUAUUGUGUUUUUUGAAAAAUUAAUAUUUUUUAUGCGGAUGAACACUAACCGUAAACAGUAAAUGUGAACAGCAACCGUGAAUAAUUGCUGUGAACAGUAUCCAUAAACAAUACUUUUGAAAAAAUUAAUCUAUUUUUGAUACAUCUAAAUUCCUUUCAAUGAAAAUAGAAAGUCAAAAUUGUAAUGCUCAAAAAAGACAUUAAUUGUUGUAACUUAAAAGAUAUAUUCAUAUAAUUUUUCAGUUGUAUAAUAAAUUUUUUUUAUAUUUUUAAUAAUUUUAUUAAAAUUAUUAUUUAAAAUUUAUAUUCAUUAUAUUAUUAAGUUUUAUUUUAUAAUUACAGGUUAUGGGAUGUAAAGGAGUUUGGGAGCUGUAGCCUUUAGUUGGCUUAGGGAGAUGUUAAAGUUUUGAGAAAUGCUUAGAAAUUUAUUUUAUAUAACACGUUCUCAAUUUUAUUACUAUAAACUUACGCUGUAUUGUCUAGUCUUAGUAAGUAACGACUCAAUUGGAUGUGGGAGGAUCCCUUCCGCUUUGACCAAAAAAACUGUUUCGAGGACAGUUUUCUAACUCAACUCAAUUGCGGAACAAACAAAGAAACGCUAAGAACAUUAAUUAAAGUUAACAUACAGAGCAAACAAGUCAAGAGCACACACAAGAGGAGACAGACACUUGGCCAAGAAAAUAAUUGACCAGGGAAUUUACAAGGAAACUCUCUUUUCCAGAAGUUACAAGAGCCCUGACACUAUUCCUCUCGAGGUCUAGUUCAAGUCGCCCAAGCCUCUCAAGCUCCCUUAAGAACUCUGCUUUCUUGCUGUUCAAGAAAGCGCCUGAUUGGAAUCACAUGCUCCACGUGACAUCUGGCAUAACUAAAUCUGCUGCCGUACCCAGCCAAUUUAUGGUGCCACUUAUGAUACCCUGUCUCGUCAGCUUCCGUACCCUGCGUCAUCAUAGGACCUUACAUCUUGGAACCUCCAUGAAAGCUGAAUCUCUAACAGCCCAUCAUAAAGAUAUUAGUUCUAAAAUAGGGAAAUUACCAAAAAUACCUGCGCAUUUUGAAAUUUGUCAAAAAAUGAAGAGUAGAAAGCAAUGGGAAAACGUAAUUAAACAACCAAUUUGAUUCCUCGGAUCGCUUUCAUCUCAGGACUCUUUGUCUUCCCGUGCGUCUUCGAUUCCACAGGACAAUCUUGGAUUGAAUUUAUACAUCAGAAGAAAAUAUCAGUAUGCCCAAAAUAAAAAGUUGCUUCCAGUGCAGAAAUAAGAGAAAUUGACACACCUUUUUCCACCACAGAAGAUGGUGUCAUAUAGAAGUAUUCUGUCGCAGACUUAACAUACCUAUCAAGUAAUUAAUAAUUCCUACUUUAAAAAGUAGAGCAAUUGGAUAUCUAAUCCGAAAAUUCAAGAUAUAAUAACUCUUGAAAAUUAUAUAUUCAUAUACAUGUUAGUAGCGUGAUGCUACCAAUAUUCGCACCUUUAGCAUUCAAACACUUGAUCAUUGAAAGAAUUUAAGAAAAAUGUUGAUUGGUUACUGACAUUAACAUAACAUAAAAUUUGAUCCACAAUUUACUCAAUUUCUGAGUUGGCUUACCAAAAGUAUUGUAGCAGAAAUAACCAAAUCAACCCAGGUCCUUAUAUGGAGCCCCUGCGCGUCAAUUAAAGUAAAAGCUCGAUCCUCUGUUAUCCGAAAUGGUCAAACAAAUAUUAAACCAAAAUGUUGAAGUCUCUUUCUUUUGCAAUUCUAGCUCUAACUGAUGAGAUUGAUGGAAAAGAAUAACCAACAUUAAGAUUAAUUUUUAUUUCAAUUACUAGGAAAUAGAGAAUUAAAUGGAAUUCUCUCAGUAAAGCUCACCAAUAUCUGUCUCCGUCAUCACAUAGAUAUAUCAGACUAGCUAUCUAAUCCUUUUAUUUUAUUUUUUUCCUUUUUCAUUCAACAGCUUCAGCAUAUAACAAGAAAGCUUGGGCUCCUACAAUGCUUAGGCCUCUUCACGAUUAAGUACUCGUACGGUAGCGCAAGUAGCAGGCCUGGCACCUCUCUGGAUCUGCCAGAGAAUAAAUCUUUACACAUGCCCCCUGAAAAUCUGUUACAUAAAUUAUGUCCUAAUAAUCAGCAAUAAUUCAAAGAUGCGGAUAAAAAAGCACUAUAAUGUACAAACAUACACCUCGUUCAUAUUUUUUGUAUCACAUGAGGCAUAAACUCCUCAAGAGUCAAGUCCGACAUUUAAUUCAACCCAUAAACUUGUGCUUGUAGCCCGCAUAAAUGGUUAAACAAAUAUUAUAUUUUCGACUUGAAGAUUGGAUUACAAAUAUAUAAUAGGAAAGUAAAAUGGAGGAGGAGAAAGAAAUUACCUGUAGUAGUUGAGAAAUUACUGCCAAAAAUAGAAUUACCCGUAGGAAUUUUAUUUGGUUAGUAAUUGAGAAAGAAAUUACCUUAGGUGAUGGCUGAAAGGAAUUUAGAUCUAUCAUAAAUAGAUGUAAGCAAUUAAAAACUAAAAAUUAAUUACUUAAUUAAUUUUUUUGGAAAUACUGUUCACUGUUACUGUUUACGGUUCUGUUCACCACAACUGUUUACCGUUACUGUUCAUCCGCAUAAAAAAUAUUAAUUUUCCAAAAACACAAUAAAAUGCAGAAAAUAAAUGACACAGAGAUAUUUACGUGGUUCAGAUUAAUCAAUCCUACAUCCACGAGGCCACGCCAAGAUGAAAAGUAAUUCACUAAGUUGAGAUGUUACAACCUAUGGAUUUACCAAACUUAAGACUCUCACUUAUAGUUUAUCACCAUACAGUUUACUCAACCUUGGACUGAAUCUGCUUCUCUUAAAUAAUUGCUACCCCUCUUGAUCCACGAUUCUCAAGGCACUUCGCAAAGUGAUCAAUAGCAAUUCUUCAAUUCUUCAACGUCUAGUGAUCCAAGAUCCACAUAGAGUCUCAACAGAGAUGAAAAGAAGAUAAUAAAACAAAUCAACACAACAUGGUGCGCCAAAUUCGGAUUCUCUGGGGAGGAGGCCGAAUUAUUGCUUCUCUGCUUUAUGCUUUGCAUUGUGCCUGUCUUCAAUUGUGAAAUACCUCUAUUUAUAUAGGCACUAGGGUUUCACCAAAAUAGAAAGUUUGAAAAGACUUAGAUACUUUCCAAAUAAGAGUUUCUUUCCUCUUAUAAUUCCUAUGAAUCUGAAUAGGAAUAAAUAUGAUCUUCUUGCAUUACUUGUCUCCUAAGAAAUAUCUAGAGCAUUUAAUGACUUCUUGUUUGAACUAACUUCUUGCUCUAAAUAAAUCUCAUGCGCCAAUAAUAAAACACCACCAUUAAUUGACUUGCUAAAAUACACAUUUAAUUAAAUUAGGAAACAAAUAUUCCUAAUAAAUUGGAAUCUCACUAAAUUAGAGAAUUAAUAAAUUAAUCCCUAUUACAAGAUAUGCAAUAAAUAAACUUCCAAUUUAAGUAGACUUGUCAUAAAAUGUCAACUCUAUAAAUAAUGGAAUUAACAAUGGCUAUGGUACUUGCGGUACUCGUUUUAAAAAUCCUCAAGGUUCGAAUUUGACAUAUUGGUGAUUGAUUAGGAUGCUGGGAAUGUGGCAUAUCUUGGGGCAGUCCUCUCUUGUUUCCUUUCCAUGAUGUUCUUCUAAAACAGAACAUGAACUAAUAUCCGAAUCCUGUAGUGUUGUUUGUUGUGCGCGGAAUGCGGAAUCAAGCGCACCAAAAAAUCACAGAAAAAUAAAGGACACAAAAUUUAACUCAGAUACUAUCUAUGAAUAAUAUAACACAGUACCUCACUUCAUGCAAGCUUUGAUAUAUUAUUCCUUCUAUCUAUUUAUCCACUGCUAAUUGUUUUAUAAAAAAUUUGGUGCACUGUAGUGAACCCAAUAACUCCUAGCUAGAAGCAACAAUGUCCAAUUAAGCCGCUGAUACAAUCAAUCAAACAAUAAGGAAAGGAUCAACAACACAAAAAGCACACGCAAGGCACAAAGAUUUACAUGAUAUAUCCACAGGUGGUGAUGCUGGUAUCCACUGUACGUGUGAUGAAAACAAGUGUAUAUAUAUAAAGAACACUACCUGUCUCCUCACAAUAACCCCCUAGAACACAAGCGCAAAUAAAAAUGAGCCAAUUCCUGCUCUGCUGUGCCCUCAUGUACGUAACUCCUCUGCUAAGAAAUAUUGCCUUAAAAUAUCGGUAGCAUAUGCAUGCAUGACCAGCAAAUCAAUUAGACAUAUAAAAUUAUCAACCACACAGGAAAUCAGCAAAUCAGUGGUUUCAUGAAUUUGUAAUAUUUGAACAUCAGAAUAUGAAGAGUACAGGGCAAUGGGAAAAAGUAAUUAACCAUCCAAAUAAAUUUAAAUCCAAAUAAGAUAAGUAACGUAUGAANNNNNNNNNNNNNNNNNNNNNNNNNNNNNNNNNNNNNNNNNNNNNNNNNNNNNNNNNNNNNNNNNNNNNNNNNNNNNNNNNNNNNNNNNNNNNNNNNNNNGUAUUAUUAUGGUCACUGUCUUCAACCUGCUAACCAAAUCCAAAAAAUUGGUCUUCCCGACUGAGUAAGUGAGCCCUGAAAAGACAUUACCCAGCUUAAAAGCCAAAUGAAUGUAGACUUGUGAUUGGUGCAAUUGGUUUUAAAGAAAUUAGUAUGCAUCCCCACUGAAAGCCAGUAAAUAGAGUUGAAGAAGAUGCUAAUGUGCCACAGCUAACAUAAGCAUAAUUUGAUCAGCCGAAUGACUACCAAAUGAAAAAGCGACAUAAACUUAACAGAACUGUUAGGAUUAAUCGAAGACACAUAUAUUUGUGCCAAUUUUCACACCUUUAGCAUUCAAACCUUGCUCUAGAACAACUGCUGUGGUCCGAUGCUGCAGGCAAAAAAUUUGACCUACGAAGCAGCCUCACUCACCAACCCAGCCCCAAAUAAAUUUUUUGAAAUGCCUUGAAAACCUUAACAUUAUAUCCAAAUAAACAUAACUUGUGUUUGUGACGUAAUGAGAUUGCAGUGCAUUCGUAGAGUGUACACUUAUCUGCCAUUUCGUCGGAACAAAUUUUUUUACUUCUCUUAAAAUUUGCAUAAUAAAUUGCAAUAUGGACAAGUACCUACUUGGAUAUGAUUAUAUUUUUGUUCUAGUUUAUAACCUGUUUUCAAUUUUUUAGAUAUCUAUGAUUUUCAUUAAAUCACUACUCUAGUUGGCAUUUCGCACCACCCGCAAUUGAUUAGUUGCUCUCUAAUCCAACAAAAUUAAUAUGGAAAGAAAUGAAUGGCCAGCGAUAAAUAUUCCAACAUUAUGCAUUAAGCCAUUCCACUCCUACAAAACUGAAUCUCUUUGACAGAAUGCUUUUUCACGUGAUCAUGUAUGUGUCAAAGUUUUGUGACAGAUAUAUUAUUUUGCAGAUGUGGCAAACACAAUCGUUUCAAAAUCUUAGAGGCCUUGAAAUUUUGAUUAUUACAAAAUCUAAGAGGAUAGUUACAAAAUUCUGUCACAAAUAGUAAAAGUUAAGUGAUUCUUGACAUAAUACUAUCAAAAGGUUUAAAUAAAAUCUCACAUUUUAAUAUUUUACAAAAAUGUGUUUUAAAUUUUUUUUUUGACAUAAUUCUAUCCAUGAAUUUUCUUUUAAAAUUUUUAAUUCCACGUAGGCAUUGAAAAAUGACAGCUUUAAAAGAUUCCAAUGAUUUAACUGAUGUGAAUAUAUCUUCAAUAAGUCAACAACAAAAUUCUAUGAAACAAAAUUUACUAUUUUAAUUAUUUUAUAUUGCCACAUCAAUAAACUAAAACGAUGACAUUUCAUAUGCUCAAAAAAGAAAAACUUAUGUAGGCCGAGAUCGCCAUCUCAUCAUUAUUAAAGAGGCGUGUUCAACCAAUAAGAAUUUGCCAUCUAAAAAGUUCAAUCAGUCUUUUGAAAAGCCUGGCUCGAGUCUGAGCCUGAGUGUUUCAGGUCGGACUCAGCCUAAGCUUGGGCAUAAAACAGUAAAACACAAUAAAUGCUCAAAAAAUAAAAGAAUAAAUAUUUUAUUUUUAAUUAAAAUACACUUUUUAAUAUAUGUUUAACGUAUCCGGAACAUAUAUUUAAAGUUUUAAUUCUUUAACAGAACUUUUAAUACCUAAUCUAAUAAGAAAGUUUAUAAAUUAUAAAUUUAUAGAAUACAAUGAAAAAGGUUUAAAAAAAUUAAAGUAUAAAUAUGAGGUUUUACAAUUAAAAUAUCAAAUGGUGGCAAAAUGAGCAGCCAAAAAGUGCGCCAAAUCAAAAUUAUCCAAAAUUCCUCUCUUCGAUUCCCUUUUUAUUUUAUGUACCGCUGAUAUAAAAUUAACACAAAAACAUUCUGAAAUCGAAAGCUUGGAACGAAUCUCACGCCUCUCGCCUUCUCUUUCUCGCAUUUCUCAUUCCUCUUUGCCUCUCUCUCUCUCUCUCUCAAAGGAUUACGUUUAUGGAUUUGCCAUUGNNNNNNNNNNNNNNNNNNNNNNNNNNNNNNNNNNNNNNNNNNNNNNNNNNNNNNNNNNNNNNNNNNNNNNNNNNNNNNNNNNNNNNNNNNNNNNNNNNNNNNNNNNAGAGAGAAAUGUUCAAGUCAGGAAUUUUAAAGUGCAGGAAAGUACGGGAAACCUUUAAAACCGCAUGGUUUUAAAGGCUUAAAACUGUAAGCCUUUAAAGCCGUGUGAUUUUAAAGUUUUUCUGGACUUUCCCGUACUUUAAAUUCCCUGACCAGAAAACUACUAUAUAUAUAUAUAUAUAUAUAUUUGUAUAAUUUCAGCAAAGGUCCAGAUCGCUCAAGGCCUAAUUUCAUCUCAAGGUUUGUCAUUUUCCUCUUGAUUGCCUUUCGUCAUUGGUUUCUCAUGUGACAUUACUUUACUUUGUUCUUUGCUUAUUGUAAAUUUAUUCACGGUUUCUACAUUAUAAGUUACGGUCUUUGUUUACUUUUAUUAAAAAUUAUGGUAUAUGAAUAAUAAUAAUAAUAAUAAUAAUAUUGGCUUGUUUGCGUAAUUGUCUUCGAUAUUGACUGUAUUUACAAGAUUCUCUGUGACAUAUUUCUUAUUGUGAUUGUUUAAUUAGUCUCGAUUGCAAUUUUUACAAGAUUUGAUGAAUGUUAAAAUUUAAGUACCAAUUUAAAUUUGUACACCAAGUGUUUGUUAUAAUGCCAUGUGUUAUCUUCAAUAGAUUUUUUUUUUCUUUAACACGUAGUAUAAGCCUGAUAAUAUUUUUCAAUUUCUUUCCAAGAUGCAGUUUUUGAUAAAGAAUAAAACAAAUGAUUGAGACUGUUUCGAUGCUAAUUUUUCAAAUUAGCGCAUAUUAUGCUACUUCAUCUCAAGCAACCUAUGAUGAUAGCUAAUAUUGAUGCAAUAUUCUGUCAUGCCUGCGGAUUCAACUUGCUAAGAUUUUGGUUAUGCCUUCAGGUUCAAGCAUUGUUGCUGAUUAUGUGAGCUGUUGAGAUUUUAGUAUUGAGCAUGGCUGCUUUAGAUUCAAUUUGAGCAAAUGUAAUUGUUUCCUUUUAAAAAAAAAUUACAUUUUCAGAAACUGUUAUAAAGAUUGUCAGCAGUAUUAUUUCGUAUUAAUGUCAACUUCUCAUUUACAUAUCUUAACUAAAGCUUUAAUUUCUUUUAAUUUCUCCAUCCUUCAGGGGAGGAUUUGAUGAUUUGCUAUUGUGUGAGAAGAAAGCCAAGAAGCAGAUGUAGAGGGUUGUUAUUGUUUGGGAAUUAUUUUUCAGUGGGGACAAUUUCAUAAAAGUAAUUUAAUAAUGGAUCAAUUUUAUAAAUUUUCUUUUGUAGUCAGGGCGAACUAAUAUGUUACAAUUCAAAAUAUUAGCGAAACGAUUUUCUUCUCUCUCUCAAAUCAUGCUCACCACUCUCAAUCGAAAAAACAUAGUCCUCUGCUCUGACUUCUCAGUUCUCACCCUUAAUAACACAGUUCUUUUUUUGUACUCCAUCGAAAAUUCAUAAAAUAAUGAUAAUGAGACUAUUAUUGAAUAUUUUUAAAAUAUGAAAAAGCAUUGAGAACAAGUGUAAGAAUAUUUUUACUGAUAUCAAUGAGUAUUAAACUUUAAACAAUUAUUUUCACUAAUUCUUUUAUUAUAAUAUUGUCCCCAAUGAAUUAAUUUCCUGGAUCACCUCUAUUUGAAUUUUAUUUUUUUACUAUUUUUUUCUCAUUGUUAAAUUUUCACAUAUGUAUCUUUCAAGUACAAAAUCCCUUUUUUUCUCUUUUUUUUUUCUUAAUCUUGUUUAAUAAGAACUGAAGUUAAUCUUAAAUGUUAAUUGUUCGUUUUGACAAACAUAGUUCUAUGUGUAUGUGACUUUUAAUUUCUGUUAUUCCCUUUUUUCAGAUGUAACCUUGAACAUUAUUAUAACAUAGUGUGGUUUUUUCUUAUAUUAAAAGUUUGGAGGUGGUCAAAUGGGUAAAUUUUCCAAUAAUUUUCCAACGUGUCUAUGAAUCUUGUGUCGGCUCUUCAUAAUCUUUAUCAAAUUCUCAAUAAUUUUUAUCUUAUCUGAUAUAAUAUUAAAAGCUUGAACUCCUAUAGAACUCUCGAUGAAUUUCUUUCUAUUUCUUGGAGUUCACUUAUACGUGACAGAUGUAAAAUUUAAACCCUAAUAUCAAUGAAAAUACGUAUUAUCCCAAGUAAUUAAAUGGGACCGUUUUGCUAGGAAACAGACAAGAAACGACAGUGAAUACAUUUUACACCAAAUUUCUUAAAAAGAAAUUGAUAAAAUAGGAUGCCUGCGUUCCAAGAGUGCUUUCUUAAAAAUAGAUACACAAAAAUAUUUUAAAGUGUUUUUAUAAGGGGAAAAAAAACUUAUUAAUAUGAUGCAUGCAUUUCAAGAGUGUGCUUUCUUAUAAAUUGUUGUUAUGAAAAUAAUAAUAAUAAUAAUAAAUUAAGAUUUGAAUUUGAAUGACUAAUUAAUUAAUUAAACUAGUAGUAGGUAAACCCAUGUUAUUAAUUUUUUUUAAUUUUAUAUUAUAAGUUCUGAUUACAUUCCUCAAAUCUGUUGAAAGUUAUGCACUUAACACAUCUGAAGAAAAAUUGAGUUUGAUAUAUUGAUUGAUUGCACAAAUAUGGUCUAUAUAGAGUAGACGGACCCCGUUGGGAGACAUUUUGAUAUGAGGGUCUGAGGAUGGGUUUGUGUUUUCCAAUUGAGUUUGAUUAUAUUGAUUCACAAAUAUUCAUGUCUUGUUUUUGGUUGGUGCAUACUUUUAAUUAGGGAUGGCAAUGGAUUGGAUCUGAUCCAAGAUUCAUGUGAUCCAAAUCCAAUCGGAUCGGAUUUGAAUCGGUUUAAAAUGGAUUUGGAUCGGAUUUGGAUAUCCAUGUGCGGAUCUAAGACGGAUCUAGAGCAGAUCUAAAUCUAUCUUAAUAUCUAAAUCCAUAUCCAUAUCCACUCAUCUUUUAAUUUUAUUUUAUUUUAAAUGUUUCUUAACAAUUGUGAAAUUAUAAUGAUAAUAAAUUUUAUUCAUAACAUAUUAGUAGUAUUUACUAUCCAUUUAAACUCUCAAAACUUAAAUGUUAGUUUUGUAAAUUUAAAGGUCAGCCAGCCCCAAAGCAUGUACAUGCAAUAUUCAAAUUGCAAGUCAAGUAAUAUAACCUGGCAAUUUAUUUUAUUAUAUUGGCCAAAUAAUUUUUAAGAAAUAUAGUUAUUCAUAUAUUUAAUCAAAUAUGGUCAUAAUAAAAAUAAUAAAGGACUGAAUAUAAAUCAUAUUUAAUUUAUAUGUCAUUAUCUAAUGUUGUAGGAAUGAUGGUAGGUGUAUCGUGGAUAUUAGAAUGAUGAAGGAGACAAUAGAAUAUUAGAUUGGUCUUACUCCUGCAAUUACUUCGGAAUGAUAUUUUAUUAUCUUUCUUAUUUGUUGUUUUGGUGUAAAAGUAUAAGCUACAAUAUUUAUUAUAUUUUUGAGAAAAUUAUAUAAUUUAUUUGUUAUCAAUACAUUUUAGCCUUCAAUUUUCAAUCUAAAAAAUUAUUACUUUUUUAUUACUGAAUUUUAGAAUUCAUGACGGAUCUAGAGCAGAUUUGGAUUUUAAUUUUUUUUUUCGGAUUUGGAGCAGAUAUAGAUAUUUAUUUCUUUUUUGGAUCUGGAUAUGAAGCGAAAAAUAUGGAUUCAUGACGGAUCUGGAGCAGAUACGGAUCUUAAUUUUUAUUAUGGAUUUGGAUUUGGAGCAAAGUAGAUCCAAUCCAUAUCUAUACCAUUGCCAUCCCUACUUUUAAUGACUUUGUUUUGCGGUUCUUGUGUUGUAUGUACAUAUUGUUUCCUUUUCUGUCACUAUAUUCUUACAAGGACUUUUUUGAUAGAAUAAAAUUAUGUCAGUAACAUGGUCUGUGACAAAAAUUAUUCUGUAAAAAAAAAAAAACUCAAUUUUGUAGUGGUUCCAAAUAAUGGUUUAGUUUCUUUCCUCCUCGUUUUGUCAAUAAUUGAUUCUAUUCCUGGUUAAAACAAGUUCUUUACUUCUCUAAAAAUGUGCAUAAUUUCCCCACUUAUAGAAGUGUCAAGAUAUUUUUGACUUUCUUUUUUUUUAAGGACUAAUACUAAUUUAUUGUUUGGUUGUAAGUACUAGAAAUCAAACAGGAGAAAAUAAUUGAGUUUUUUUUGUUAACUUAAAAAUACGUAUUAUAAAUGUUACUUAUACAAAUGCAUAUUACUAUUCAAAAUAAUAAAAAUUUUGCAUUGGAAACAAUUUUGAAAAAAAAAUAAAAGUUUUUAAUGGAGAAAGGAAUUGUGGAGGGAAAGUUUGAUAGAAGAUGCACACUAGCUAGUUUUGGAAUUAUACCGUCAGGCGUCAAUCAUUUUAUAAAAAAAAAUGGAAAUAAUUUGAUCAGCCACCAGAGUUUUACUUCAGUGAUUUUCUCAAUACGACGUACGGUCCUCAAAACCUUAUCAUGAUGCUUGUAUAUUCUAAGCUUCAUGACAUCAUAUUAAAAACGUAUUGCUAAGGUAAUUUGAAAUUCGUUUUAUCCAAUGAAUGUUACAUUUACUGGUAUGUUUAAUAUUUUGUUUUGGUUAAAAAUUUUGCUAUCUAACAGCUAAUAACUGAAUUUGACUCAUUUUUAUGUAAAUUUUAUAGACCCACCGAUUCACCAUUUUUUUUAAUGUUAUGAUCAUUGUAGGCAUGUUAUAUUUUAAAUUAUGACUCCAUGCGAAAUCAAAAUUUAAAUUUCACCAUCUUUUAUAGGAUUAGAUUAUGAUAAUCAAAUAACACAAUAAACAAACACAAGGUAAAAAAAUUUACAUGGUUCGACAUAUUAAUUAAUAUGCCUACAUCCACGGAUGAUGAUAUUAAUUAAUGAAAAAGUGUAUAAAUAACAAUAAGCUCUCAUGUGCGCCAAAAAGAAAAAAAAAAGAAACACCAAAAUCAACACUCAAAAUCAAUCAAUCCCCAGCAGUUUGGCCUCACAAGAGCUCUCUCUGUGUUGUGCUUUCCCUCAUUCAUUCUCUUUACAAAUACAAGGCUCGCAAAAAAACAAACCGAAUUACUAAAAACAUACAUAACAGAUUAAAAAAGCACGCGCCGCGCCCGUCCCCCAAUUCCUGAUUUGCGACGCUGAAAAAUAUCGCUUUCCCCAAAAAAAAAAACAAAUGAAUCAGUUACACAAAUAUAUCUAAUUUUAAAUUAAUGAAGAAGAGUAGAGAGAGAGCAAACGAGAAGGAAAGCGUAUACAAAUUAUAAUUACUAACCAGAGUUAUUAGCACCAUUACAUAUAUAUAUCCCUGCUGAAUUCCCCCUCCUCUGUUCACCAUUCGUUUCUAAAAUGGAUUAAAAAAUAACUACUAAUUAAUUUUAAUUAAAAUAGAGUGAGACACGCAAUGCAUGCAGGAGAUCUAGAAAUAAAUUACCCGUCGCGGUGGCCGUGGGUGAUUGUAAUUGACUAAUUGCAGCCGCGCGCUUUCAGGCAAUGGAGAUUUUGGGAAUGUGGCGUAUCUUAGGCCAGUCGUCUCCUGUCUCCUCUCUGUAACGUUCUUGUAAAAUAGGACAUUCCCCAAAAAUCUCCAAAUUCUGGAGCGUUGACUUCUGAAGAAGGUGAUCGGGCAGUGCUUUUAAUUUAGGGCAUCUCAAAAUAGUCAACCUAGAAAGACGCGGCAUGAUUAUGAUUUCUCCCUUCAUUGCAGUCCCGAAAUCCCACUCUUCCAAUUCUUUUAUAAAACGAAAUUCCAGCUCUUUCAAUUUGGGAAAGGCAAUAACUGAGGAGCCAUCCGUAUCACUUUCUACCCCCAGAAAUUCGUUACCCACUCUUUUCACACCCAACAUUCCGCCAAUAAGAAGACCUUCAAGGGAUGGCAAUUUUCCCAAAGGAGGCAAAUGCUCGCAAUUUCUCCACCAGAAGAGAGAUAAAUCCUUUAAGUUGGUUAACGACAUGAACCAAUUUAUGGGGACAACAUUCCUCCUCCCUCUGUAUCCAUUUAUCCGUAAUUUCUUUAAAUUAGGAGGUGGUCCCAAGGCUUCAAGAAGCCGUUCAUCUUCAUCCUCCUCAUUCUCCCUCCUCCCAGCUAGUUCUUCAUCUCCAUCUCUUAAAUGAUCAAAAUAAAGUUCCAACUCAACGAGAUAUUUCUUUUUCUCAAGUUCAGCCCUUCUAGCCUCCCCCGCAUCUGACACACCACCCAGCCCACGUAUACUACAUUGUCGAAGGAGGUUAAGCUUUUUAAGAGACCCAAGGCUACAUGCUCUAUCAUACCCUCCCCCCACAACAAACUUUGUCACAUCCCGAAGACUGAUUAAUUCCCCAAUCCCUACCGGCAAGUAUCUUAAACAAUCAGUGUCUUCAUUGUGUAAAUACAUCAGCUUUCUUAACUUCCCAAUCCCUCGAGGUAAUUCUCUAAGAUUUUCACAUUCAUCAACAUUUAAACGUUCUAAAUUAUAUAACUCACACAACGUCUCGGGUAAUUUUUCUAUCUUCUUUUGACCUUUCAAAUUAAGGUAUUUCAAAUGUAACAAUUUUUCUAUAUUUGUUGGAAUUUCCUUGAUGUCAUUCACACUUGACUGCCUAUCACCCGCCUUUAAUUUUAAUGCCCUUAAACAAGUUAAUUUAUCAAAUAAUUGAGGCAGGACUUCACUAGACCAUGAAUAUUCAUCACUUUUAACUAAGAGGCUACGCAAUCCUCGCAAUCCUUUAACAUUACCCCAAAUGGAGAUCGGAACCGAAGCCCCCCUACGUAGAGUUAACAGUAAAUGAAGGAUUUUUUUCUCCCCAAAAGAGCUAAUAGCUAACUCUUCACCACUAUGAAUUUCUACUGUUAAACAUUUAUUACUACAUAAAUAUUGGGCAAAGUCGUGCACGAUAUCGUGCAUUUUGCAAUUAGAGAUUUCACCAUCAUCACCUUUGUCAAAAUCCUGAAAGAAUGAACGGUUAGCUAAGAUGUUGAAAUACUCAUCACCAAUAUCC
rnacentral:lncRNA from 1 species